rnacentral:rRNA from 1 species
UACAGAGGGUGCAAGCGUUAAUCGGAAUUACUGGGCGUAAAGCGUGCGUAGACGGUUACAUAAGUCGGGUGUGAAAGCCCCGGGCUCAACCUGGGAAUUGCAUUCGAGACUGCGUAGCUAGGGUGCGGAAGAGGGAAGCGGAAUUUCCGGUGUAGCGGUGAAAUGCGUAGAUAUCGGAAGGAACACCGGUGGCGAAGGCGGGUCUCUGGGCCGUAACUGACGCUGAGGCGCGAAAGCCAGGGGAGCGAACGGG